CUCAAUCUUCCUUAGCCUAUCUCUCAGCACGACUACACACACCGAACUCGCAUGCAAGUUGAACACAUCUGUGCUGGGCCUCGGCCACACAAACACCAUCAUGUUCGCUUCUCUCACGCACGACGAGCGUCCCAAAAAAAUAUGGCCUGAAUUGCACAAACAACCUCAAACAAAAUCGCUCAAAAAAUGCAGAAUAUCCAAGAAAACCGGCAAACUCCAUCACUUUCAAGACAAGCCCGCCACAACCGACCGAAUGACACGAAUAUAGCAGGGCAGAUCGUCCAAAUUUGCACUAAAAACGCGAUUAACCUUCGGGAAGUCACGCAAAAAAAAAACUACAAGAGCAGUCGCGUGGUGUACUUUUCUGUCACUUGUUUGUUUCCUUCAUUUACAAACUGUCACCGCUCCAAUCCAGCUUGAGGUAUAUUUUGUCACCUUCAGGAUUUCCGGUGCCCUACGAAGAUUGAGACAGCGGGACCAGAAACGUCAGCACUUCUACUAAAGAAGCAAAUGCGGGUGAUGACGGCAGGACCGACGACACGACAAGCCACUCGCGUCCAAAAAGUGGCCCCAAAUCGGCUUACCCCUCCGUUUCCUCGGGAACUGGAAACGUCAAAAUGAAAUUUCCUCAAAAAAAUAUAGUUUUGGCAGCACUUCUGCCAUUGACGUUUAGAAAUGUCAUUUCUUUUCUGUCAUCAUUUUUUUUCCAACAUCUGAGUAACCAAACCGGUUCCGAAAAGAACAUCCUUCCGAUGGAACGAUCGUGGCCGGUUCUGGAAAGAAAAGUUCCGGAGAAACGAAGCCCCGAUGUGAUAGACGACGUUGACGACAAGUGGUGCAGGAAUAACCUAAGGCAAUCCAGAUCGGUCAACUGAAUGUACAACCGGGAGAAGAUGCCUAGCGUGAUGGACAUUCUGCUCAAACUGCCAAGCCAAAAUCUCGACGGGAGGAAGGAAGAAUGACUCGCCUGCAGAAAAGAUAGUUCAAACUGGCAGCGCUGAAGGGACGCCUGCGGAAGCAGCUGAUGAAGAGCCGUCUCUUCGUGGUGCAAAGGGACAACCGGUGCCAGCUGAAGAAGCUGGUCCUAAACCUUCCAAAAAGGUCACAAGUUCAGCCGACAGCCACGAGGAUGGAGAGUCCGCAUCGCCCAGCAAGACUGCUGUGAAAAAGUGUACCAGCCGUGGUCGAGGUGCGGGUCAAAAUGACACUGUUGAAUCCAGCGACCUUCCGGAAGUUUCCGCUGGAGCCUCGUUGACAAUAGAGAAAGCCAUUGCGGACGAGUCAUGAUAAGCCGACUGCGGCUGCUGUUGACGUUGUAUCUGGUGCGAAACGAUUGCGACGAGAUGCGAAGAACGGUGAUGCCGAAACAGCCAACGAGCUGGCAAACAAACGCGUCGUGCACUAAAAUCAAAGGCGGAGCAGGUCGGUGUGGAAGCUGAUUCAGCUUUAGCUGCAGACCAAGUGCCAAAAUCAACCGUUCGUUCUCGCCGUGGACAGAAGCAAGUUUCAGAGGCAGAAUCAGAGUCCCCCGUCCAAGGUAGACAAGUCCACCACCAGCAACCCUUAUCCGGUUCCAGUUGAGAUUUCUAUGCACGGAUCCAAGAUGGUCAAGACGAUGCUACAUGCGUUGCACACUUCAACUCCGUUGAUAAGGAACACGCUGAAUACGGACGCCGCUGAUGUUCCCGGCACAACACGCGGUCGUCGGGUGGCGGCUGCAAAUUUCUUCAUUGCAGGAAUCCACACAUCGUACUAGGGCCCGCCUUGGCGCAAGUGCAACGCCAGAAGUGCAGGUCGAAACGCCGAGUACGCCUGCGAAACGUGGUCGUGGCCGUGGCGCAUCAAUCAUAGCCAAGAUCGUCGAAGAAGAGUCUCAUUCAACGGUAACGAGCACGGCGCAAAAUCGGGGAAAGAAAACAAGUUGUGGAAUGAUGCUGACGAUGCUCCAAACGCACCAGCAGAUGAAGAGAACCGAAUCCGAAAAAAAUGCGAGCCAUGGUCCGAGAUCACCAUUUCCCAGUGAUUCCGGAUGAGAUGAUCUGCACGUUUCGCACGACGCAAGCUUAUAGUUUG